rnacentral:rRNA from 1 species
GUAUGGUCCGCCCGUCGGAUUCAGUCCGCCKGCCCGGCGGAGUGGUCGGUAGCGCAUCUCUCGCGGGAGCGCUCCGRUCWCUCGUACGUCGGGUGGCGGCCGUACUUUCGGCGGGCGGAGCGCCUCGACCGGUUCGCGGGCGGCGAGAAACCGCCCGGCAAGGUGACCGUCGCUUCGGCGUCGGAGCAUACAGGCCGGGCGUGCGUCGGCCCGUCUGCGGACCUAGGUAGACCGUCGCGGCGUCGCGUCGACCGCCGGACGUGCUUUCGCGUUCGACUCGGGGGGACUGUCAUCAGUGCCUUCGGACCGCGCGUCUGUACCGUUCGGACGGCCCGGCKCGGCGCCUGGGGUCAGAGGCGAAACGGCCGGCAACCUGUCCGACCCGUCUUGAAACACGGACCAAGGAGUCUAACAUGUGCGCGAGUCGUUGGGCGCUACGAAACCCGCAGGCGUAAUGAAAGUGAAGGUACGGUCUCGCACCGACCUCGGUGGGAUCCGGGCGGUCUCGGCCGCUCGGCGCACCGCCGGCCCGCCUCGGUCGCGACGUCGACGAGGCGGAGCAAGAGCGUACACGUUGGGACCCGAAAGAUGGUGAACUAUGCCUGAGUAGGACGAAGCCAGAGGAAACUCUGGUGGAGGUCCGCNNCNAUUCUGACGUGCAAAUCGAUCGUCAAACUUGGGUAUAGGGGCGAAAGACUAAUCGAACCAUCUAGUAGCUGGUUCCUGUCGAAGUUUCCCUCAGGAUAGCUGGCGCUCKUCGUGAGCAGUUUUAUCCGGUAAAGCGAAUGACUGGAGGCCUUGGGGACGAAACGUCCUCAACCUACUCUCAAACUUUAAAUGGGUAAGACGUCCGACUCGCUCGAAUGGA